rnacentral:rRNA from 1 species
AUUGAACGCUGGCGGCAGGCCUAACACAUGCAAGUCGAACGAGUGGCGGACGGGUGAGUAAUGUCUGGGAAACUGCCUGAUGGAUGGGUAUAACUACUGGACACGGUCGCUAAUCCCGCAUACCAUCUGAUGUGCCCAGAUGGGCUUAGCUAGUAGGUGGGGUAAAGGCUCACCUAGGCGACGAUCCCUAGCUGGUCUGCGGGGAUGACCAGCCAAACUGGAACUGAGACACGGUGCAGAAGCCUACGGGAGGCAGCAGUGGGGAAUAUGGCACAAUGGGCGCAAGCCUGAUGCAGGCAUGCCGCGUGUAUGAAGAAGGCCUUCGGGUUGUAAAGUACUUUCAGCGGGGAGGCGUUACCCGCAGAAGAAGCACCGGCUAACUCCGUGCCAGCAGCCGCGGUAAUAC